rnacentral:rRNA from 1 species
CCCUUAGAUGUCCUGGGCCGCACGCGCGCUACACUGAUGCAUUCAACGAGUUUUACCUUGGCCGAGAGGCCUGGGCAAUCUUUUAAACCUGCAUCGUGAUAGGGAUAGAUUAUUGCAAUUUUUAAUCUUGAACGAGGAAUUCCUAGUAAACGCAAAUCAUCAAUUUGCAUUGAUUACGUCCCUGCCCUUUGUACACACCGCCCGUCGCACCUACCGAUUGAAUGGUCCGGUGAAGCCUCGGGAUUGUGGCCAGUUCACUUUAUUGGGAGUUGGCUGUGAGAACUUGUCUAAACCUUAUCAUUUAGAGGAAGGCGAAGUCGUAACA